CGGUGCACAGAGGCAACACUGUGCGUGUUGUCUCAUCUGGAGCUUUCUUUUUGUUCUUGCUUGGGUUGGGUUUAUAUUCUGCCGAAAUACAGUAAUAUUGUACAAAUUACGAUGAGUUACCAACUAUACAGAAACACGACACUUGGGAACACCCUGCAGGAGAGUCUGGACGAACUGAUCCAGUGUGGACAGAUCACACCACAUUUAGCCCUCAAGGUGCUCCUUCAGUUCGACAAAGCAAUCAACAAUGCAUUGGCAAACAGGGUGAAGACGAGACUGACGUUCAAGGCUGGUCACCUGAGUACAUACCGUUUCUGUGACAACGUGUGGACCUUUGUUCUGAAGGAUGUUGAAUUCCGGGAGGUUCAGGAGCUGGUCAGAGCUGACAAGGUUAAAAUUGUGGCAUGUGAUGGAAAAAGUGCGGAAUGACAACAGUUGGGCGUCUGCACCGUUUCUUCUUUCCUGGGUUCUGUAUUGCAUUCAGGUAGACCAGAACCAGACCUAAACAUCGUUUAGGCAAUGAAGAGUGUACAGUAUGCUGCGAAGGUGGACCACAGUGGAUCGUGAUUGAGCUACAAUCCAACACUCUUUGUAUUUAUAACCUACUUGCAUUGUGAUCCUUUUAAUAAACCAUGCUCAUCAGAACUU